rnacentral:rRNA from 1 species
UGGGGAAUAUUGGACAAUGGGCGCAAGCCUGAUCCAGCAAUGCCGCGUGUGUGAAGAAGGCCUUCGGGUUGUAAAGCACUUUUAUCAGGAGCGAAACGCUGUCGGCUAAUACCCGGCGGAACUGACGGUACCUGGGGAAUAAGCACCGGCUAACUUCGUGCCAGCAGCCGCGGUAAUACGAAGGGUGCAAGCGUUAAUCGGAAUUACUGGGCGUAAAGCGUGCGUAGGCGGUUUCUUAAGUCUGCUGUGAAAUCCCCGGGCUCAACCUGGGAAUGGCAGUGGAUACUGGGAGGCUAGAGUGUGUCAGAGGGUGGUGGAAUUCCCGGUGUAGCGGUGAAAUGCGUAGAGAUCGGGAGGAACAUCAGUGGCGAAGGCGGCCACCUGGGACAACACUGACGCUGAGGCACGAAAGCGUGGGGAGCAAACAGGAUUAGAUACCCUGGUAGUCCACGCCCUAAACGAUGCGAACUGGACGUUGGUCUCAACUCGGAGAUCAGUGUCGAAGCUAACGCGUUAAGUUCGCCGCCUGGGGAGUACGGUCGCAAGACUGAAACUUAAAUGAAUUGACGGGGUCAUAGCUGUUUCCGU